rnacentral:rRNA from 1 species
AGUGAACGCUGGCGGUAGGCCUAACACAUGCAAGUCGAACGGCAGCACAGGAGAGCUUGCUCUCUGGGUGGCGAGUGGCGGACGGGUGAGGAAUACAUCGGAAUCUACUUUUUCGUGGGGGAUAACGUAGGGAAACUUACGCUAAUACCGCAUACGACCUACGGGUGAAAGCAGGGGACCUUCGGGCCUUGCGCGAUUGAAUGAGCCGAUGUCGGAUUAGCUAGUUGGCGGGGUAAAGGCCCACCAAGGCGACGAUCCGUAGCUGGUCUGAGAGGAUGAUCAGCCACACUGGAACUGAGACACGGUGCAAACUCCUACGGGAGGCAGCAGUGGGGAAUAUUGGACAAUGGGCGCCAGCCUGAUCCAGCCAUACCGCGUGGGUGAAGAAGGCCUUCGGGUUGUAAAGCCCUUUUGUUGGGAAAGAAAUCCAGCUGGCUAAUACCCGGUUGGGAUGACGGUACCCAAAGAAUAAGCACCGGCUAACUUCGUGCCAGCAGCCGCCGUAA